UACCACUUUUUACGUGCUCACAAGCAAUCGUGAUUAGAGACAAAGACACAGGAAGGUCCAGAGGUUUUGGAUUAGUCACCUUCUCCAGUGAAUCUGAAGCCUAAUCUUUCAUAACAGAGAUGAAUGAUCAGGUUUAUAUGACUCCAUUUGUGGUAGUUGUUCUGUUUAUAUGAUGAUGGCUUUGGUUUUGAGUUUUCAGAUGAUGGAUGGUCGUAA